CUCCGAGCCCAACCUCCCACCCGUGUAUACCGUACCCUGUUGCUUCGGCGGGCCCGCCUCACGGCCGCCGGGGGGCCUCGCGCCCCCGGGCCCGCGCCCGCCGAAGACCCCAACACGAACACUGUCUGAAAAGUGCAGUCUGAGUCGAUUGUUACCAAUCAGUCAAAACUUUCAACAAUGGAUCUCUUGGUUCCGGCAUCGAUGAAGAACGCAGCGAAAUGCGAUAACUAAUGUGAAUUGCAGAAUUCAGUGAAUCAUCGAGUCUUUGAACGCACAUUGCGCCCCCUGGUAUUCCGGGGGGCAUGCCUGUCCGAGCGUCAUUGCUGCCCUCAAGCACGGCUUGUGUGUUGGGCCCCGUCCCCGGUACCCCCGGGGACGGGCCCGAAAGGCAGCGGCGGCACCGCGUCCGGUCCUCGAGCGUAUGGGGCUUUGUCACCCGCUCCGCAGGCCCGGCCGGCGCCAGCCGACCAACCCAACCAUUUUCUACAGGUUGACCUCGGAUCAGGUAGGGAUACCCGCUGAACUUAAGCAUAUCAAUA
rnacentral:rRNA from 1 species